AAACUAUUUUAAUUGUUUUGAAAACAAUUGUUAAGAUAAAAAUCUUGUAGUUUU
rnacentral:tRNA from 1 species